CCGGGUGUGCUGAGAGCGCAUGCGCUGCGUCCUCCUGCGAGAAAGGCAGACAGGGUGCGCCGCGACUUCCGCAAGAGAAAGGCCUUCACUGUUAGAGGAAACUUUGGGAAGAAAUGGUCCUGGAAGCUUAUAUAAUUUAGGAGGCUUUCUUUAAGAAAAGAAUACACCAUUAUAAAUGUAAAAUUAAUUAUCAAAACCAUUUAUUUGGAAUAAGAAAAGGAUUGACAAGAAAUGACAGAUACUUAAUGACAAAGAGCCACAAACAACAACAUCCUGAAAAGUGAUAACAGCAGAUCAAAGGCACCGAGGUCGGCCGGAAUGUGCUUGAGAAGAGCCAGCAGAGACUCAUCAUGAAGGUCUAUGCUGAGGAGAUGGUGUUUGAGCCAGUCUCUUGAUAAUGGCAUGCUUGUGAUCCAAGCAGCAGGAUCCUGAUGGUCCCUAAAGGAGAGAUGAUAGAAGGUAUCCUGAAUGUCGGCGACUUCACAUUUGCAAAGGCCAAAGCCUGUUAGGUCGGGCCUCCUCUUGGGUAAUGUGAUAGACUCUUAUCCUAUAGUGUUUUAAUUAUUUGUGUGAAUGUUUUCCUUUUUUACAGGACUAGAAACAAUUUAAAAAUGAGGACAAAUUCUGAUGGCCCACAGCAUAUUAUAGGGAGUAAUAGCAGGAAUAGCUACCAUGUAUCAAGUAAAUGAGCCUAUUCUGUUUACAUAGCUGAUUGUAGUUAAGCCUGACAAAAACCUUUGAGGCAGUAUUGUUCCCCCCACUACCCCCCCCGCCCUUUUUUUUGACAGUUGAGAAAAAGAGAAACUGGGAAAGUUUAAGUAAUUUGCUCACAGCUACAUAGUUCUGUAUGCUAUUAAACAAGAAUUUGGUGACCUGUGCUUUGUGCUAAGCACUUAGAUCCAAAUGGUGAGCACAGCAAAUGUGGACACUCCCCACAUGUAGCUUAUAGUCCAUGGCAGAAGACAGACAUUAACCAAUAAUAACCAUAUGUCAAUGUAUGAUCACAACCUGCAAUAAAGUCUCUGCAGGAAAAAACAAAACGUUCAGUAUAGGAGAAGCUAGCACAGGGUGACCAGAUCUGACCAUGGGCCAGUAGAUAUGAGGAGAGAUAUGAGGGAAAGGUCAAGGUCAGGGAGCACACACCUGGCAGUUCUGAUGGUGAAGCUGAGUAAUGAAAGAUACAUGGGUGUUAAGUAGUCCAAAGAGAAAGCAUGUGCAAAGGCCCUGGUGUAGGAGCUGGGAGUAUCUGAGAGUCUGCAAGCAGGUCUGCUGUACACAGGAGAUGACUGGAGAAGGAGAGGUGGCACAUCUUGUAAGACGGUAUAGGCUGGGAUAGAGUUUGAUAUUUAGAAAUGAUAGGCAUUGCAUUCACAGGUUUUAAGGGAAUGCAUUCCUUGAUGAGAUGAAUAGUCAAUCUAGGUGUAGUGGGGAGAGCAAAUGGGAGAGGAGUCAGAGUGUGAGAAAGGAAAGUGGUUAAGAGGGUAUUAUAGUAAUUCUGGUGUGAAAUAAUGGUGAGGCCAGGGUGGCAAUGGUACACAUGGUGAGAAACAUGUUUGUGAGGUAUUUGCAAAGACAGUUCUUGGUGAUGGGUGGGAACAGGUGGGGUGGGGAGGGAAAGGAAGGUGUCAAGGCUGAUUCCCAGGUUCCUGGCUUGGACAGAUGAAUGGUUGGAGAUAUAUAUAUAGGAUGUGCUUUUGUAUGCUGGAGGGGGACCAGGAAUUUGAGAGGAAGGGUUCUUGAGUAGGUGGCAGAGGAAUAAUUUGAAUCUGCGUCUGUUUUUCAUCAAAAUGUGCUUCUCAUCGAUUCCUGAAAUGUACACACGUUUUUGGAAAUCCACGCUGGAUGACUCUUCCAUCUUGCCAGUUCUAAUCAACUUCUGUUGUCACCACUGUGAUCUUCUGAAAGAACUGCAUUCACUUUUGUUGCAUAAUCAAUAAAUGACAUCAGUGAGAGAAAUGUCCAUCCAGACAGGAAGGUACGGGAGGUCCUUUUUGGGAGGGAAUACCUGUAAUUCCUCAAACCUUGCUAUUCAGCUGUGAGAGUUAUGCUGCCUAUGUUGAGCUCUGGCUCAAACUGCUAGGGUUUGAAUCUUGCGCCAUGACUUGCUAUCUCUGUGAUGGUGGGCAUAUUGUUUAACAUUUCUAAGCCUCCCUUUCUGUAAAAAGGAGAUAAUAACAGUAUCUUCUCCAUCAUGAAAUUGGCUGAAAGAUGAAGGGUGCUACUAGCCCACAGGACACCUUUCUGUGAAUUAGAGAAAAGUUCUCAUUCCUCAAGUGAAAAAAGAACCUUUGAAGUUAGUAUAUUAUAUAUUAUCAUUAAUCACAA